GACCAAAGCAAGUAUGAAUACUGUAAAGAGUUUCUACAGGAUUCACAAGUGAACUCGAGUCGAGCCAAUCUGACAAAUGACUGACGAUGAGAUCUGAUGAGUUCUUCAUGACUCUAUCAAAUCGAAACUCACGAUAGAAGGACUGAAUCACAUAACUGCACCUAGAGAUUCAUACUUUCAUUCUACUGGAUUGCUACUACAU
rnacentral:lncRNA from 1 species